AGCUUUUCAUAUCAAAAUCAUUAUGCGGGGAUUUCUAAACCCAUUGAACAUAAUGAUCCAACGCCAUCUCCCAAUCGUGAAUUCCUUGUAUUUGAGGCAGAGGAAGAUGAUGUUGAAGAGAUUCCUGACGAAAUUUCUCGUCGCUUUGAGCACGAAAAAAAGCUCAUCCAGCUGUAUCAUGAGAAUCAGCAAAACAGUCAAACUAGGGCAUUACAAAUGUAAUAAAAAAAAA
rnacentral:lncRNA from 1 species